UAUAAUUGUCAGCUAAGUGGCGCACGGGUGAGUAAUGUAUAGAUAACCUGCCCUUAAGAAAGGAAUAACAGUUGGAAACGACUGCUAAUGCCCUAUAUGCCUUUAAUACAUAAGUAUGCAAGGGAAACGCUUUAGUGCUUAAGGAUGGGUCUGUAUGGUAUCAGCUUGUUGGUGAGGUAAUGGCUCACCAAGGCUAUGACGCCUAACUGGUUUGAGAGGAUGAUCAGUCACACUGGAACUGAGACACGGUCCAGACUCCUACGGGAGGCAGCAGUGGGGAAUAUUGCACAAUGGACGAAAGUCUGAUGCAGCAACGCCGCGUGGAGGAUGACACAUUUCGGUGCGUAAACUCCUUUUAUAUAGGAAGAUAAUGACGGUACUAUAUGAAUAAGCACCGGCUAACUCCGUGCCAGCAGCCGCGGUAAUACGGAGGGUGCAAGCGUUACUCGGAAUCACUGGGCGUAAAGAGCGUGUAGGCGGGUAUAUAAGUCAGAAGUGAAAUCCAAUAGCUCAACUAUUGAACUGCUUUUGAAACUGUAUACCUAGAAUGUGGGAGAGGUAGAUGGAAUUUCUGGUGUAGGGGUAAAAUCCGUAGAGAUCAGAAGGAAUACCGAUUGCGAAGGCGAUCUACUGGAACAUUAUUGACGCUGAGACGCGAAAGCGUGGGGAGCAAACAGGAUUAGAUACCCUGGUAGUCCACGCCCUAAACGAUGUACACUAGUUGUUGUGAGGCUCGACCUUGCAGUAAUGCAGUUAACACAUUAAGUGUACCGCCUGGGGAGUACGGUCGCAAGAUUAAAA
rnacentral:rRNA from 1 species